rnacentral:rRNA from 1 species
AUUGAACGCUGGCGGCAUGCUUUACACAUGCAAGUCGAACGGCAGCGCGGGCUUCGGCCUGGCGGCGAGUGGCGAACGGGUGAGUAAUGCAUCGGAACGUGCCCAGUAGUGGGGGAUAGCCCGGCGAAAGCCGGAUUAAUACCGCAUACGACCUGAGGGUGAAAGCGGGGGACCGAAAGGCCUCGCGCUAUUGGAGCGGCCGAUGUCGGAUUAGCUAGUUGGUGGGGUAAAGGCUUACCAAGGCGACGAUCCGUAGCUGGUCUGAGAGGACGACCAGCCACACUGGGACUGAGACACGGCCCAGACUCCUACGGGAGGCAGCAGUGGGGAAUUUUGGACAAUGGGGGCAACCCUGAUCCAGCCAUGCCGCGUGCGGGAAGAAGGCCUUCGGGUUGGAAACCGCUUUUGUUCGGGAAGAAAUCCUCUGGGCUAAUACCCCGGGGGGAUGACGGUACCGGAAGAAUAAGCACCGGCUAACUACGUG